AGGUAGGUAGGCAAUGAAACAGAGUGCUUCGAGCCUUGGGCGCUCGAGGUCGCCGGUUCAAAUCCGGCCGACCCC
rnacentral:tRNA from 1 species